GCCGGGGUGGUGGAACUGGCAGACACACCAGCUUGAGGUGCUGGCGCCGUUAAAAGCGUAGGAGUUCAAAUCUCCUCCUCGGCA
rfam:Candidate division WOR-1 bacterium RIFCSPLOWO2_02_FTLL_46_20 rifcsplowo2_02_scaffold_235, whole genome shotgun sequence.